AAACCUCCUCGCUGCCAUUUGCAACAAUUAAUAUUGUAAUAGUUGAUAUUAAUUAAGAUGGGGCUGUUCCUUCAGGUGUUGACGGUGUUAGUGAUAACGGUUUCGCUGCAAGGAUGGCUGCCUCUUGGUUGCUUGGAGGAAGAGAGAGUCGCUCUCUGGCACCUCAAAGAUUCUCUUAACUAUCCCAAUGGCACCUCCCUACCUACCUGGAGAAAACGCGACGCCCACUGUUGUGAAUGGGAAAGUAUUGUCUGCAGCAGCAGAACAGGCCGAGUCACCGGACUCUUAUCUUUGGAGCGUAAGGAAUGAGGAACUGGGAGAUUGGUACUUAAAUGUCUCCUUGUUCCUUCCUUUCCAACAACUCAACAGUCUCAUCUUGAUGGAUAAUCGUAUAGCUGGUUGGGUUGAGAAGAAAGCUUGCGCGCACCAUGACUAUUCCCCACGGCCCACUGGACAUCCUGCAAGCCCAGGAGCAGGUUAGGCACCGCGGGGGUAACAGGCGUGCACAUAGAGGAUCGAACCCGGGACGGGGGCGGAACAAGUCACACAGUUGACCACAGCAGCUAGGCCCUCAAGUAAAAGUCUUUAAUUUUUUUUUUAUAUAUAUAGGUGGUUAUGGGUUACAUAAAUUGAGCAAUUUGAAGAUCCUUGCCUUGGAAGAUAAUAGCUUCAAUAACAGUAUUUUAUCAUUUGUGGAGGGGCUUCCGUCUCUUAAAACACUAUAUUUAGAUUAUAAUAGACUGGAGGGGCUAAUAGAUUUGAAAGUGAAUUAAUUAAAUUUUUUUAUAAAUAUCAAGAAUCCUUGAGCAGCUUGAAGCAUUUGGGUUUGGGCGGCAACAAUAUUAACAAAUUGGUAGCUUCAAGAGGUCCAAGCAGCUUGAAUACUCUAUAUCUCGGAAAAAUCACAACCUAUGGAAAUAUGUCCCUGUUACUGCAAUCAUUAGGAGCAUUCCCAAAUCUCACGACACUUUUUCUACACCACAAUGAUUUUACAGGAAGAAAAUUAGGUGACGGUAAGUUAUAUAUUUUACAUACAGUGAUGUUUAUAUAUUUGGGAUUAAUUCAAAAAUUCAAUUUGCUACUUUUGAACAAACAAAGUUGCAAAAUUUAAGUUCAUUGGAAAGUUUGUAUCUGGACCAGUAUUCUCUAGAUGAACACUCCCUUCAAAGCCUUGGAGCAUUGCGUUCUCUAAAAAAUAUGUCAUUGUCUGCUCUUAGUAGCAUUGUAUCUUUUGGAGGUAAAUUAACCAUUCUACUUUUUUUUAUACCCGCUUCAAUUAGAUGUGUCCAUAUAGAAUUAAUCUUUUAUGUUUUAGCAACUCACUAAAUAAGUCCCGGAAAAACAAUUAAAUCUCAAGUUUAGAAAUUAACUCAAUUGAAAUUUUUAAUAUUCUAAAAGUCUACCAUCCAUUUAAUAUUAACAAUAUUUCAAUUUAAUUUUAGUCCUCUCUCAACACCAUUUCAGUGUAAUGUAAACACAAUGAUAAUAAAAAAAUACAAUAAUUUCUUAUAUUCUUAUAUUGAAAGUGCUAUUUUUAAGAGGAGAAUAAAUUAACAAUGAUAUUUUUCUUUUUUUCUUUUCAUCAGACAUAUAAAAAAUCCCUCUUUUAAUUGGACUCUACAAUUUCUACACUUCCCUUUCUAUUUUUUAGUUUGUUUUAGCCAUAAUUCAUUAGUAAGGAAUUAUUGUAUAUAAUAACCUCUUAGGAAAGUUGAACAAACAAAUCACGGGAGAUCUUGUUUAUAUAUACGUGGAAUUUUUUUAAAAUAUUUUUAUAUGUGGACCAAUCAAAAUAAUUUACACUAAUAGAUUGAUAUUAUAAGAUAUUAUUAUUUUCAAAACCAUAUAUAAAAAAAAGACAACAUGAGUGCUUUAAAUAUCUUGAAAUGAUAGAUUACAAAAUAUGAAAUUAUAAAAUAAAGAAUAUUAUUUUCUAAAUUUACUAUGACAUAUAAAAAGCAAUCUCGAGAGAGAACGGUCCAAGUCUUAUCAAUCUAUAGAAAGAGAAAGAAUUAAGGAAGAAUGUUAAUAACACUCAUUAAUGUCGUGAAGAAAUUUAUUUUCUCUAAAGAAUAUCAAUUUAAUGUAGAUAAAGAAUAUAUAACCCAUUUUCCUUAGCUGAUAAAAUAUUUAAUUAACCGGAAUUAAGACCAUCUUGAAUUCUACCCAAGAAACAUCUUGCCAAUAAAGCAUUUUCUAAAAAAAAUAUAUAUGGAAUUAAGAAUAUCAGUUUUGAUAGUUUCACGUAUGAUUUCCUUAUAUUUUAACAAAAUAUGGCUUUCUAAAAAUACAAUUAUGAAAAAAAUAAUAGUGUGAUAUAGGUUGAUGAAAUUAUAAUAUUUUAAACUUGAACUUUUAUUUUAUCUGUAUAGCCUUUCUUUUAUAAUAUUAAUCUGGAAAAUUAAAAAAAAAAAUAGUAACUAAAGUCAAUUAAAUAAAAAACUCGAGAAACAUAAGAAAAAAAACAUAAAAAAUACACUACCCAACCAAUAAUUGACUAGAAUCACGUGACACUGACCACCAAAACUAGCAAUUUAUUAGAAAUUUACUUACUAGAGCAAAUUGACCAUUAAGAGAGAAUUAAAUUCUAAAUCUAGAAAUCAAAUCAUUUUAUAAGCUGCUUCUUUUUAACUCUUUCAUUUCCUUUAUAAUUUUAAUUGUUUCUAUGUUAAUAUAAUUUCUUGAUUGUGGCAGGCGUCCUUCAUUUCAGGAACUUGAAAUUCUUAAAUUUAAGUUACAAUACUCUCAAUAAUAACAGCAUCUUACAAACCAUCAGUAAGAUUGAUAACUCUUAUUGUCUCUCUCUCUCUCUCUAGGUUAUAUAUUUUCUAUUAGAAACUUAGAGUUUUAAAUUUGUUUUCAAAAUUAUAAUGUGAUCAGGCUUAUGUGACUUAAGUAAUCUCCAAGAGCUACAUAUGUAUCACAAUAAUCUCAGUGGUUUAUUGCCUCCAUGUCUGGCAAAUUUGACUUUCCUUUAGCAUCUAGAUCUCUCUUCUAAUCACUUGAAGAUCCUGUAUCAUUGAGCCCAUUAUACAACCUUUCAAAACUCAAGCAUUUUGAUGGAUCAAGUAAUGAAAUAUUCACAGAAGAAGAUGAUCAUAAUCUGAGCCCAAAGUUCCAGUUAGAGUCCCUCUAUUUGAGCGGUAUUGGACAAGGUGCGGGAGCAUUACCCGAGUUCUUUUACCACUAAGUGAACCUAUAAUAUAUGGAUCUUACAAACAUCCAAAUAAAGGGAGAGUUUCCAAAUUGGUUGAUUGAGAACAACACAUACCUACAAGAACUUCAUUUAGAAAAUUGUUCUCUUUCAGGUCCAUUCUUCUUGCCAAAGAAUUCUCAUGUGAAUUUGUCAUUUCUAAGUA